rnacentral:rRNA from 1 species
AAACGAACGCUGGCGGCGUGGAUAAGACAUGCAAGUCGAACGAGAGAAUUGCUAGCUUGCUAAUAAUUCUCUAGUGGCGCACGGGUGAGUAACACGUGAGUAACCUGCCCCCGAGAGCGGGAUAGCCCUGGGAAACUGGGAUUAAUACCGCAUAGUAUCGAAAGAUUAAAGCAGCAAUGCGCUUGGGGAUGGGCUCGCGGCCUAUUAGUUAGUUGGUGAGGUAACGGCUCACCAAGGCGAUGACGGGUAGCCGGUCUGAGAGGAUGUCCGGCCACACUGGAACUGAGACACGGUCCAGACACCUACGGGUGGCAGCAGUCGAGAAUCAUUCACAAUGGGGGAAACCCUGAUGGUGUGACGCCGCGUGGGGGAAUGAAGGUCUUCGGAUUGUAAACCCCUGUCAUGUGGGAGCAAAUUAAAAAGAUAGUACCACAAGAGGAAGAGACGGCUAACUCUGUGCCAGCAGCCGCGGUAAUACAGAGGUCUCAAGCGUUGUUCGGAAUCACUGGGCGUAAAGCGUGCGUAGGCUGUUUCGUAAGUCGUGUGUGAAAGGCGCGGGCUCAACCCGCGGACGGCACAUGAUACUGCGAGACUAGAGUAAUGGAGGGGGAACCGGAAUUCUCGGUGUAGCAGUGAGAUGCGUAGAUAUCGAGAGGAACACUCGUGGCGAAGGCGGGUUCCUGGACAUUAACUGACGCUGAGGCACGAAGGCCAGGGGAGCGAAAGGGAUUAGAUACCCCUGUAGUCCUGGCAGUAAACGGUGCACGCUUGGUGUGCGGGGAAUCGACCCCCUGCGUGCCGGAGCUAACGCGUUAAGCGUGCCGCCUGGGGAGUACGGUCGCAAGAUUAAAACUCAAAGAAAUUGACGGGGACCCGCACAAGCGGUGGAGUAUGUGGCUUAAUUCGAUGCAACGCGAAGAACCUUACCUGGGCUUGACAUGUAAUGAACAACAUGUGAAAGCAUGCGACUCUUCGGAGGCGUUACACAGGUGCUGCAUGGCCGUCGUCAGCUCGUGUCGUGAGAUGUUUGGUUAAGUCCAGCAACGAGCGCAACCCCUGUUGCCAGUUACCAGCACGUGAAGGUGGGGACUCUGGCGAGACUGCCCAGAUCAACUGGGAGGAAGGUGGGGACGACGUCAGGUCAGUAUGGCCCUUAUGCCCAGGGCUGCACACGUACUACAAUGCCCAGUACAGAGGGGGCCGAAGCCGCGAGGCGGAGGAAAUCCUGAAAACUGGGCCCAGUUCGGACUGUAGGCUGCAACCCGCCUACAGAAAGCCGGAAUCGCUAGUAAUGGCGCAUUCAGCUACGGCGCCGUGAAUACGUUUCCCGGGUCU